rnacentral:misc_RNA from 1 species
AGACCCACUUCCUCUCGGUUGAGAGGAGAAUUGUCGGUUGUCGGCACAUAAUGUGUUGACUCUGAUUAAAAGCAGAAGGUAUGUGAUCAAGCUAGUGGCUUGGGACAUUGUGUGCUAGAGACGCGGUUGAGUUCGCUCAACAUGCAAGUCUUCUCACAAUGCGUCCUAAGCCCUUGAAAGCUGGCUUGGUUACCGCCUACACAGUGCUGUUUUGCCUCUUUCGGGAGGUGGAAUAGUACAACUCUACCCU